GACGGAGGAUGCAAGCGUUAUCCGGAAUGAUUGGGCGUAAAGCGUCCGCAGGUGGCAGUUCAAGUCUGCUGUCAAAGACCGGGGCUUAACUUCGGAAAGGCAGUGGAAACUGAACAGCUAGAGUAUGGUAGGGGCAGAGGGAAUUCCUGGUGUAGCGGUGAAAUGCGUAGAGAUCAGGAAGAACACCUAUGGCGAAGGCAGCACUCUGGGACGGUACUGACGCUGAGACGCGAAAGCGUGGGGAGCGAACAGG
rnacentral:rRNA from 1 species